CUCUCGUCCGACCAGGGUGGACGAGGCAAGUGGCUCAGCGAGUCGCCGCUGGGCUCGGGCUUCAAGAGUCAGGGGUUUCCUGAUGACCACCUAAGCUCGGACGACACUGCUGAAGGUUUCCAUGGUCAAGGAGGAUCCCCUCCAUUGUGGUCACAUGGCAAUGGCGACUGCUCUCAUACGAGCAACAGCAGCGACCCACUGACUGGGAGCGGAUACGAGUCCCGCCGGUCCUGGGGCUUCUGCCAAGACCUCCGUUCUGCGGGGUACGACCUGAACGGCAC